rnacentral:rRNA from 1 species
UUUCCGUAUUGGAGGCAUUGCCUGCCCAGUGACAACUGUUUAACGGCCGCGGUAUCCUGACCGUGCAAAGGUAGCAUAAUCAUUUGUUCUCUAAAUAAGGACUUGUAUGAAUGGCCGCACGAGGGUUUUACUGUCUCUUACUUCCAAUCAGUGAAAUUGACCUUCCCGUGAAGAGGCGGGAAUGCACAAAUAAGACGAGAAGACCCUAUGGAGCUUUAACUAACCAACCCAAAGAGAAUAGAUUUAACCAUUAAGGAAUAACAACAAUCUCCAUGAGUUGGUAGUUUCGGUUGGGGUGACCUCGGAGAAUAAAAAAUCCUCCGAGCGAUUUUAAAGACUAGACCCACAAGUCAAAUCACUCUAUCGCUCAUUGAUCCAAAAACUUGAUCAACGGAACAAGUUACCCUAGGGAUAACAGCGCAAUCCUAUUCAAGAGUCCAUAUCGACAAUAGGGUUUACGACCUCGAUGUUGGAUCAGGACAUCCUGAUGGUGCAACCGCUAUCAAAGGUUCGUUUGUUCAACGAUUAAAGUCCUACGUGAUCUGAGUUCAGACCGGA